UAGCAACAUCCGCCACACCACACAUAUACCUUUCUUACCCCAUCGCGUCCUGGCUCGCGUGUCGAACCAUCAGCGGCCUUCCUACCUUAUCACAGAUGAAGGCAACGGCCCCGUCUUCUACACUCUCCUCUCCCUCUCCUUCGUUCUCUUGUAUCCUCGGGGCGACUGUGAGCCACCAGGUGACGGUGCCAUCCCCAUCGCUGUCGCACAAAGACAGACAGAGAGGUACAUACUGGCGCAGCUGGCGGCCUCUUAGCCUGACACGUGGCAGCGUGCGUGCGAAGAGCAUCCGCCGGAAGCCCUCUCUCUUUCCCAUUCGACGUUGGCCGCAGCCUAAGCGUGGCUGCCCUUGCUCGGGGCUCGCCUCCCUCCUCUCCGUUGUGGCCCAGACACACACACGCGCGCGCUUGCGCUCCACCGGUGUGCAAUGUCCCGCGAACCCAAUGAAGGCACCUUUGGGGCUGCGCUCGCCAAUGAGUUUCAGUGGCGCAAUUUGUACCUGAAGGAGUUCGGCUGCUGCACCUAUCCACCGCCGAUCCCGAAGGACCCCAGCACCACCGCCGUUGGUGUCUAUCCGAUGCGACAGCAAGCCAAGCUCCUCCAACAGGAAAGCAGCAGCAGCGAUGAUGCUGAUAACGGAGUGGAGGAGGACGACCACUAUGAAGAGUCCACGGACGAUACCGAUGGGGACGACAGCUACCAAGCGAACUUUAGCUCAGGCCUCUUCCAAUUCUCCUUCAGCGGCGGUGACAGUGAUGGAUGCCAUUCGCGAAGGCACCAAUCCCACAACGGCGACCUGGCAGAUGCAGAGCCCCCCAGCACGAGCUGCUCGCGUCGCGACCGUAGCACGGCAGAUCAGUUUUUCAGUCUCGACUUGUCCAUGUCUGUUGGCGAGGAUGGGGCCAGCACGCACACCUUCCGUCACCCCAGCCACCGCAGCGGUGGGCGACGGUGCGGCCAAGGCGCUGUCCUGCGCAAAGACGACUUCUUCGACACCAACGACGUCUUCUCGACAAAGUUCUUCAGUUUUCUGUGGACAGAGUCGGACAACGACGGCGACGACGAGGAAUACGCCAGCGACACGCGCACGGUCGACCACCAGGCUCGGCGCUGGGGAGCGCGCGACCCGGACAACGGGCGAGGCAUGAAGAGCAGCCUGCGAAGCAGAAAGAACCCCGGUCGUCUCACGCUGUCACGACCCGGCUUCUCGACGGUGACAAGUCACGCCUUCAACACGAAUCCGCAAGAAGUGCCGGAGGCGGUGCUGCGACUGCACCACCAGACAUGGAUCCUGCUGAUGGACAACCGCCUCAUAGCCUGGGUGCACCGCGCGGCCACCGAUCACUGCCAGCGGGCCACGCAGCUGCGUCAGCGCUUACUGGAAUUAAUUGCGCGCGGCCCUUGUUCCGCUGACAUCACCGGCGACGCCACGUUCGCCUCGUCCACCCAGGUCAGCACCUCACUCGUGUUGCCGGAGGAAGACGCGCUGCAGCGCACCUUGGAGAGCUUCUCGCCCUUCUUUGUCGUUGUUGCGCCGCCGCCGGCGGUGCAGCGGGCGAAGGAUCAGUUCCGGGCGGCGCAACGGGGACAGCUCCGCAGCGGCAACGGUCAACAGGCCGCCGCCGCUGCCGUCGCCGACCUCAUCGGUCUCCCGCUCCUGAGUCAGUACGGCUCCUGGCGGGAGGCCUACGAGCACCGGCACCGCUGGGACAAGGUGCCCUUCUCUUUCUUUUUCAUCCAUGACGUCAGCUACAACUACGCGCAAGUCACGGCCUUGUUUGUGCAGCUGCAGCUGCUCUACAAGCACUCCCAUUCUCACUCGCGGCGCUGUGCGGCGGCCAAGCGGGAGUCGGUGCCUCUGAAGAACGCCAGUCGUCAAUUUACCACCUUGAGCACCGCUAGUCGCGCCCCGGAGGAGCGGCGCCACGUGUGCCCGCUCGUGCUCAUGCAGGAGAUGACGGAGAACGUUGUCCUGGCCUACGAGCAAAGCGCCGCCCGCACAACGCUGCCGAUGCUGCGCCGCGUACUCGAUUUUCUGACGGAUGCCGCGCUGGACGUGGUGACGGCGAACCGCUUUAUCAGCCGUGAGGCGGUCCUACGGCAGCACCAGUUUCAGCUGCCAGGCAUGACCACCGUGCGCCCUUUGCAAAUCGCGACAGUGGCCUCGGCGGCGGCGGCGACGGCUUUCGACGUGUCACAGGCCACAGAGGAGGAUGGGUCAGCGGACGCUGCAGAGGAUAGGCGACUAACUAGCCGAAGCCUUGGCGUCUCCAAGGAGGAGGACGGCGCGCCCACGAAGGACGAGCUCUCCGGCAUCGACGGCAGCGGCAUCCCCAUCAGCGGCGUUGAGCCGCAGCGCGUCACGGAGAGCGACAUCAACGCGCUCUUUGAAAUCGCCUACUGGUUCGCAGAUGUGACCACAGCAAACGCCUCGGUGCCACUGGACCCAGCUCUGCCCGCAGGCAUGACGGCAGGGCAAUCCGCGGCGCGAGUGAUGCCGCCAAACACUUCACUAGAGGCUUUAAAGAAAAUGAACCGAAGCUCUCCUGCUAGCACACUACCGUUAGACACACCGACGGACCGCGCCCGCACCAACCACAGCGCAGCCGCGGCCGCUGGAGGUCGCGGUGCGCCCUUACCGAUGUAUAAAGUCCUCAGCGUUGAGGGAUCGCAGCUCUCCUCGCCGCAAAACAGCAAUGCCGUCUCCCUGACGGGAGCGGAUGAUUCGUCGCUGUCGUCGUUGACGUCGCGGUCGCAGCAGUACCUGCCUGGGCGCGUACAGGUGUACAGCCCCGUCGAGUCCCUUGCGGAGGCGGUGGCGUUGCUGGAGGCGUACCGCAAGCCACAACAACUGCGCGACGAUCGGCCCGGCCGUGCCGGCCGCAGGAAGCGUCACAGUGUUUCGGUUGACCCGAGGGCCCGCAGUGGCGGCGCCGGAGCGAAGGGGCCCACAUUGCCGAGUCUCACACCGAUCCCCGUCUCCGACUCCUUUACAAGCUUUAUCAGUCCGUUGGUGGUUCUCACUACCUACCUCCGCCUACACGGCGGCACAUGGCUAAAGCAUCUCUGCCGCCGCGUCUUCGAGUCUCUGCGCAGGCCGAAUGUCUUGCUUUACGUCAACACACUCGAGCUCGACGCCGCGUGGGCGUCCCUGCAGCCACCGUCCUCACUGUCAUCACAAGAGACCACGAAACUGAGUGUCGCGGCGGCGACGCGAGGGCGCCAACGCCUACUAAGCCGGUCCAUUUCAGCUACGCCGCUAGCCCCGAACACCGCUGUCAGCGCAGAGGCGGCGCGCAGCGACUUUCUUUACGGCCUCGGCUGUCUGGAAGACCUCAUUUGCCAAGACAUCUUGUGCGCCCUCAACAACUUCUUCGGUUUCCUGUACGGAAAGCGAGCCGCUGCCGCGCGAUUGCCGCAAGGGAUCUCCAUCCUGCUCACCCAAUUUGUGUCCACCGUGCACCUAUACAUGCUCGAGAGCGUCGGCGCCACUCGCGCCGCAGCGGCGGCGGCGCCCGGUAACGGCAAUCGUAAUCGCUCGAUGCGUCCCGGCUCUCACCCUAGCCCAAGCGCUUCAGGAGGGGUCACGGCGGCUGACGCCCCGAGUCGCAUCGUGGAGGACUGCCUGCGUGUGUGCAAGCAGCGCUACUACGCUGGCUUGCGCCGGCACGGCAGCGCCAAUGAGGCGGGAGAGGCCUAUGUGUCUGCCUUUCGCGAUCUUGACGGCCCCUUGAAGAGCGUCAGCGGUGGUGCUGCGGCGGAGGCAACGGCAUCGACUGCCUCGCUGCCACGCCUCCUGCACACGAUUGAGCAGCACCGCCUCGCGAAAUUCAUUUUAUUCGACUGCUGGAUUCUGCCAGCCCUCAACAACGCCAUAUCGCUCGGCUACCUGGCUUCCGACUCACCGAUGCACCUCCGCUGGAACGUCGACGCGCUCGCACGGUAUCUCAAGAUCCUUGUGCACGCGCCCUUUGUUGAGCAGGACAAGAAGAAUUUCGCCAGCCUCUUCCCAGACGUCCCGAGGAACUCCAGGCGACGCAGCACCGGCUACCCGCGCUCCCACGACGUUCGUGACGGUAAGGGCGGCUGCGGCGCCGACAAGCAGCUAAGGAGCGGCCGACCUCCCUCUCAAGGCGAUGGCCGAGGCGCCGGGCGACCCACAGUGCUGACGCUGCCGCCGUACCUCACCGGCAUCUACGACGUCGCCACCGGCUCGCUGGUGAGAGUGCAGACCUCGAUGCCCAUGUCCGCCACAGCCGGAGUCGACCGGUGCAAAAGGAUGUCGAGUGCUGCGCCCGCGGCAGAGCAUCCGACCUCACUCAGCGCGUCGUCGUCAACGCUGCUGAGUUCGGCGAUGAGCACGGUGGCUCAGGGCGAACCCGUGAACGGCGAGGCACCGUCGCCUCGGCGCACCGAGAACAGCGGCGAGGACGUGUCGGCGGUGGAGUCUCCAACGCAGGAGGGGCAGUCGAAGUGGACGCUGGAGGCCACGGCCCUCCCGCCUAGUGCCUCCGCGACGCACGAGACGCCGUCUCGUGCGUCUCCGCAGCGGCACUUCAAAGUGCAGCAAGCCGCUCAGCAUCCGGCGUCUGCCGCGGCGGCAAACAAGUCGACGGUGACACCACAGUCUGCGAGCUCCUCCCGUUUGUUUUCCAUUGCCGGGGACUCUGUGGAGGCAGCCGCAGACAUGUCGUCACCCGGCACGCAUCGCGACACCGGCAGCUUUGCAGGCUCACCCAAGGACGUUCAGGGCGGCCUGCCGAUGGGGUCGAGGCGCAAGAUCUCCGACACGCUUCUUAGUAGCAUCACACCAGCUUUCACCCCGCCGCACGCGCCGCCGCCGCCACUGGACUGCAUUCAGAGCAUUUUCAGCAGUCCCGACCAGCGCGCGACCGAUGCCGCUGCUGCGAUGACGCAUCCGUACGUGUUGAUGGACGACGCCGUGUGGCUGGACAUGUCCCCGGCGCUGCAAAACCUGAACGACUGCAUCGGGCUGACGUUCUGCGACCGCGGCACCGGUGAGGCGUUCGCCGGCGACAGCGGGACUGUGGCACCCAUAUCGCGGCUGCCCUCGAUGAACGCGUGCAGCGGGCAUGCAGACUCUCGCACUGGUGCGACCACAGCGCGUGGCGCGGCGGGUCAGCGAACAAGUGGGGCUCCGAGGGACUGCGGCACAUUUGUGGACCUCGCUCUCUUUGAUGUGCCGGCGUUGGAGAUGCUGAACGCCUUCACGUACGCUGCGUGCACGGACGACAGCAGCUACGUCGUCGUGUCCGAAUUCGAGGUUCUGCCGUCGAUGGCGGCCGGGUGUCUCGAGAGGAUCUACGAGCUCGCCACCGAUAUGCAUCCUAUGGUUCUCCACGCGCUGCAGAAGGGAGCCUUUCACUUCGCCUACAACGACAGUGGCGGCGUAUCGUCUGGGCUGACGUCAUUGUACACGGCGUGCAUGAACGGAGUACUGCUGCAUCCCCGCACCGCCGCGCAUGUGCUCAAGAAUGUCAUGGACAACAAUCCACCCUUCUCUCACACGCUACUCAAGCCGGUGGCGGACUCGACAGCGCUGGAUCUGCUUGGCCGCCUCGCCACCCACUCACGUGACGUGCCUAUGGUGGACGUGAACGCCGUUGUGCCGCUGAUCCACUCCAUGGUGCCCGACCGCGACUCUUCUCGAGGUGGAGGUAGACGAGUGCACGCAAGGACGGACGCUGCGAACAGCGGCACGAUACUGCCAGCCGUUGGCGCGCCGAACACCAGCGCGACCUCGAGCGCAGCCGUAUCUCACCGCUGGGAACGCGAGUCGCGCCGGCUGCUGCGCGAGUUGGUCUUCCUCACUACGGGCAACUCAGACAGCGGGCCGCCGCUGCCGCUCGCGCCGGGGCUUCGCCGGCCAGUGGGACCACCUCACCCGAUCCACAUGCUUCGCGCCGGCGCAGCCCGCAUCGCGGAGGACACUGGUGGUAUGACGCCGAUGGUGUUCGACCCGUGGUGGCGCGCAAUGGUAGUGGCGCUGUGCGUGAAGGCGUCUAACGUGUUCGCCGAGUGCAGCGGCAAUCAGCCGGUGUUGUUCCAGGAUAUGUGCCACGCGCAGGCCGAGGAGUCUAAGCGUCUGAACCGGUACACCACAGCCCACUUCGUCAACACGAAAGGCCGCGAGACGUGCGAGAAGGACGCUGUGGCGAUGAUGAGUGGGUCACAGCAAAGGCAGACCUCCCUAUCCGGUCGCGGCAGCUGUGUCGGCGACUUGCCCGCCUGGCCAGGUCGGAAACACAAGCGAAGGCCCAAGGCAAGAGGAGUUACGGCAAGCGGUGGCAGAAAGCCAGCGUCCACUGACAGGAAGGCAAAGAAGAAGGGACGGAAAGCCGCCGCCGCUGCAGCGUGAGGGAAAGAGGAGAAACGGCAGCGCGACGCGAAGCCGCCGCCCACCGUUCCAUGUGCGGGCAUUGCCACAGCUACCGUGGGCAAGGGGAGCGAGGGGCCACUCUCUAGCGCUCCCUCUUCCCCUUCGUGUCGCUCACUUCUGGUGUAAAAUAGAAGAAAUAGCCACCCUGCUGCAGUGGAACGUACACGCACGCACGCGCAACCUAUCACGGACUGCGUGUGUGCCCUCAUUCAACUUGACUUCCUCUCAUGUGUUGGCCGCCCAACGAUGAGGCAUCCGUAUGUGGGUGUCUGCACCCCCUUCCUCCUGUGCGGCUUUCAGUGAAGGUGCACAAGUGAGGAAGUAGGAUAGAAGGGGGGCGGGGGGUGGGCUGCAUGUGUGCCAACGGAGCGGGCACGCAGAGAGCGGUGUCGUCCUCUUCCGUUGCAUCUGUGCUUUGUGUGUGUGUGCGCGCGCUUACUCUGUUGCAUGCCGCUCCGCCUGUGCGCGUUGAAGCCGUGUUUCACGGAAGUGUCGCGAGACCGCACGUGUACGCACAAAAAAAAGAAAUGCAAGUGCAUUGCCGCCGGAGUGCUCGCCUCACGUGACAUGCGCCUGUCUGUGUCGGUGCACACGCACACACACACACCUGCUGCUGCUGCUGAGGCCCCUCUCUCCAUACCCGCACCGCGAUCGCAG
rnacentral:misc_RNA from 1 species